GCUCAGUUAUACAAUCAUAAAUUUAUAAUUUGAUAUAUUAAUGACAAUUCAAUUGUUUUUUUAAUAAACACAUUAUCAUAUAAUCAAAAUAUUUGUAUGCACAUAUUUACUUUCAUAUAAUACAUUUUUGUUAUGCAUAUGUAAAUAUGGUCAUAUUCUACAAUGAUUUUGCAUAAAAUUUGGGUCCUAGUUUUUAUAUUGAUAUUACUAUGAGCACUUAAAAUUUUACUAUCAUUUUAGGUCAGAACUGUGAAACAUCUAUUUCAAAUUUAAUGAUACAGUCUAAUCAAAAUUGUUGUCCUGCAGUUAUGCAAAAU